rnacentral:sRNA from 1 species
UGCCCCACAUCAUGUCUCCUCCUUCAGCUGUACGUUCUCCUCCUACCUUGUCCCCAAUCUGUGGUGGUUCCUGAGAUAGAGCUGCUCGAAGCCAAGUGUCCCUUCAGAUGGGAAAACAUAUAGUUCACCUGAUCCUUGCCUUAUGAGAUGGGUUAAAUCUAAAUUCCAAGAGUGAGGUCUCGAGGCUGGCUACCGUCAUAGCUUUAGUGUCAACUUGGUACAUACUAUCUGGGAAGAGGCCUCAAUCUCUUGCCGCUGUCAGUUGGGCCUAUGGCAGACCUACGAAGCUUUCUCCUAGCUGCUAACUGAUGUAGGAAGUCCCACCCCAGGCGUGGGUGCACCUCCUGGCAGCACCCCAGAUGAAAAGAGCAAGGCAAGGGACCCUGACUUUGGAUGGCUUUCCCUCCUUGCUAGAGAGUUGAUUUGCCUAGUUGCUGAUUCCAUGACUGACACAUUCCACCAUUGACUAAGGAUCAGUUGCUUCCCAGGAACUUUCCAGGCUUUUAGUGCCAUAUUGGGACUACUGAGGUAUCCAGCCUUAAUGACCCCAGCAUUGCUGGGCUGUCAACCUCCCGGGUGAGAGACAGCUGCCUUGGGAUGACUCCAAUUGCAAAGGCCUCAUUGUCAGGGACCAGCCAUUCCCAGGAUCCUAGCCUCUCAGGUGCGAUUCAGCUGGCGUUGAUAUUUUAAGGGAACGACUGUCACACUGACCUCAUCCCAGCACUGCGUCUGAUCUCACUGCUUUUCUGAAGAGGCAGCUGUUCACAGAGGGGAGCGGAAACGGCAUGUAAGAGAAGCCUGUGGCCUCGACAUCCCAGCGUUUGGCACCAUUGCUACUGCCCGUGUUGCUAUUUCAAGUCCCCAAAGACUGCACACCAUGCCUCAUGGUAAAGGAAAUUUCAUUGCC